GAAGGUAUAGCUUAGUGGUACAGUGCAUGCUUAGCAUGCACGAGGUCCUGGGUUCAAUCCCCAGUGCCUCCA
rnacentral:tRNA from 1 species